AUGAGCUCCUGGCGCCCGACCGGCUCGCACGGCUCCCCACCUCGCCGUGGUCGACCCCACGAUGAGCACCCCGGAACCCUUCCCGCUCCGCCGCACUUCGCCGGUAGCCAGGCUCCCCAGAUGUUCCCUGCGGCCGCCGUCGCGAGACAUCUCGCCUCGUUCCAGACUGCUGCCACCUCCAACACGCGCCAACAACCAACCGAUAACACCGAAGCCUGCCACCCUCCUCACCAUCACCGCCCCGCCGACGCCGCCAGCAGGUUCACCGCGCCCUGGCCGCCCACGUUUGCUCCGCCGCGUCCUAGCUUCCCGUCCUGGGCCGCGGCUGUGCGCCCCACCGCGAUGAUCCCACGUGAGACCGGAAGAACCCAUGACGUCUACUCCGGCUGCACGGCAGGGGCGGGCGUCGGGAACACGGUGACUAAUGCAGGCUGCCUGCGCAUGGCAGCGAGCGUCGGGAGCACGGCGGCCGGCGGGGGGCGCAACUUCAUCGUCUCGCCGCUGUCGCUCCACGCGGCGCUCGCGCUGGUGGCCGCUGGCGCCAAGGGCGAGACGCAGCGGGAGCUGCUGGAUUUCCUGGUGGGGCCAGCUGGGUCGUCGCUCGCCGCGCUGCACGGCGACCCGGCGAUCAGACUGGUGGGCAUGCUCCGUGGUCUCGAGCAGACGUCCUUCGCGUGCGGCGUCUGGGUCGCCCAUGGGCGGGCACUCAGGCCGGAGUUCGUGGAGGUCGCCGGCGCUGUCUACGCCGCCGUCGCGGAAUCCGUUGACUUCCGGUCAGAGCCGGAAAAGGCGAGGCAGCAGGUGAACACCUUCGUGAAACACGAAACCAAAGAGCUCAUCGACGAGGUCCUCCCCGCCCGCUCCGUCGACUCGUCCACGGUGGUCGUUCUCGCCAACGCGCUCUACUUCAAAGGGACGUGGGCUCAGCCGUUCGACCCGUCGGCGACCUUCGCCGCGCCGUUCCAUCUCGCCGACGGCACCACCGUGCGCGCACCGUUCAUGACGACGAGCCUGUUUCAGCAGCACGUCGCCGCCUUUCCCGGCUUCAAGGCCCUCAAGCUUCCCUACAAGAACGGCGGCGGCUUCCACCACGUCCACCAAGCCGCGUCAUUCUACAUGCUCCUCCUCGUCCCGGAUCAUAGCGCCGCCCUCGGGCUCGCCGGACUCUACGGCAAGGCCGUCUCGACGCCGGACUUUAUCAGGAGGCACACGCCGGCGGACCAGGUUCCGGUCGGGCGGUUCAUGGUCCCGAAGUUCAGGUUCGAGUUCAAGUUCGAGGCGUCGCGGGAGAUGCAGGAGCUCGGGGUGGCCAGGGCUUUCGGAGGCGGCGACUUCUCCGGCAUGGUGACAGGCGGAAAUGGGCUGCGCAUCUCCGGGGUGUAUCACAAUGCCACCGUCGAGGUGGACGAGCUGGGCACCGUGGCCGCGGCCGCCACCGCCGUGUGCUUGUCGCAGUGCGCAAGCGCGCGGCCUCCCGUGGAUUUCGUGGCGGACCGGCCGUUCCUGUUCGCCAUCGUCGAGGAGAGGACCGGCGUGGCUCUCUUUCUUGGGCACGUGGUGAAUCCUCUGGACGGGUGA
rnacentral:rRNA from 1 species